rnacentral:rRNA from 1 species
AUGACGUCAUGCGCGGCAGGCCUAACACAUGCAAGUCGAGCGGUAGAAGGAAGCUUGCUUCCUUUGAGAGCGGCGGACGGGUGAGUAAUGCCUAGGAAUCUGCCUGGUAGUGGGGGAUAACGUUCGGAAACGGACGCUAAUACCGCAUACGUCCUACGGGAGAAAGCAGGGGACCUUCGGGCCUUGCGCUAUCAGAUGAGCCUAGGUCGGAUUAGCUUGUUGGUGGGGUAAUGGCUCACCAAGGCAACGAUCCGUAACUGGUCUGAGAGGAUGAUCAGUCACACUGGAACUGAGACACGGUCCAGACUCCUACGGGAGGCAGCAGUGGGGAAUAUUGGACAAUGGGCGAAAGCCUGAUCCAGCCAUGCCGCGUGUGUGAAGAAGGUCUUCGGAUUGUAAAGCACUUUAAGUUGGGAGGAAGGGUUGUAGUUUAAUACGCUGCAACUUUGACGUUACCGACAGAAUAAGCACCGGCUAACUCUGUGCCAGCAGCCGCGGUAAUACAGAGGGUGCAAGCGUUAAUCGGAAUUACUGGGCGUAAAGCGCGCGUAGGUGGCAAAGUAAGAUGGGUGUGAAAUCCCCGGGCUCAACCUGGGAACUGCAUCCAUAACUGCUUCGCUAGAGUACGGUAGAGGGUAGUGGAAUUUCCUGUGUAGCGGUGAAAUGCGUAGAUAUAGGAAGGAACACCAGUGGGCGAAGGCGACUACCCUGGACUGAUACUGACACUGAGGUGCGAAAGCGUGGGGAGCAAACAGGAAUAGAUACCCUGGUAGUUCACGCCGUAAACGAUGUCACCUAGCC